AGAAAAUAACUUGCGUGAAUAAUAUGCUUCCAUUACGUUUGGCGGGAGUUCAGCAUAUUCCAUAACACUCCAUAAUAUUGUUUUCUGUCAUUCUGUUACUCACUAAGGGGUUUAUUCACUAAACACUGAAUUAAGGUGACUUGAAAUUCAAAUUGCAAAAAGUAGCAGAUUUGAAAAAAAAAAAAAAAUUAAACUCCACUCUAGUCACCGCUUGGCUAUUUCUGAAAUUCAGACUUUAAUUCACUACAGUUCAGUGUCUAGUAGCUAUACCCUAUACAAUGAAAUUAACUGCUGAUAUAAACUGUGUCACUGUAAUGAGC